rnacentral:rRNA from 1 species
GACGAACGCUGGCGGCGUGCUUAACACAUGCAAGUCGAACGGAAAGGCCCUGCUUUUGUGGGGUGCUCGAGUGGCGAACGGGUGAGUAACACGUGAGUAACCUGCCCUUGACUUUGGGAUAACUUCAGGAAACUGGGGCUAAUACCGGAUAGGAGCUCCUGCUGCAUGGUGGGGGUUGGAAAGUUUCGGCGGUUGGGGAUGGACUCGCGGCUUAUCAGCUUGUUGGUGGGGUAGUGGCUUACCAAGGCUUUGACGGGUAGCCGGCCUGAGAGGGUGACCGGCCACAUUGGGACUGAGAUACGGCCCAGACUCCUACGGGAGGCAGCAGUGGGGAAUAUUGCACAAUGGGCGGAAGCCUGAUGCAGCGACGCCGCGUGCGGGAUGACGGCCUUCGGGUUGUAAACCGCUUUCGCCUGUGACGAAGCGUGAGUGACGGUAAUGGGUAAAGAAGCACCGGCUAACUACGUGCCAGCAGCCGCGGUGAUACGUAGGGUGCGAGCGUUGUCCGGAUUUAUUGGGCGUAAAGGGCUCGUAGGUGGUUGAUCGCGUCGGAAGUGUAAUCUCGGGGCUUAACCCUGAGCGUGCUUUCGAUACGGGUUGACUUGAGGAAGGUAGGGGAGAAUGGAAUUCCUGGUGGAGCGGUGGAAUGCGCAGAUAUCAGGAGGAACACCAGUGGCGAAGGCGGUUCUCUGGGCCUUUCCUGACGCUGAGGAGCGAAAGCGUGGGGAGCGAACAGGCUUAGAUACCCUGGUAGUCCACGCUGUAAACGGUGGGUACUAGGUGUGGGGUCCAUUCCACGGGUUCCGUGCCGUAGCUAACGCUUUAAGUACCCCGCCUGGGGAGUACGACCGCAAGGCUAAAACUCAAAGGAAUUGACGGGGCCCCGCACAAGCGGCGGAGCAUGCGGAUUAAUUCGAUGCAACGCGUAGAACCUUACCUGGGUUUGACAUGGAUCGGGAGUGCUCAGAGAUGGGUGUGCCUCUUUUGGGGUCGGUUCACAGGUGGUGCAUGGCUGUCGUCAGCUCGUGUCGUGAGAUGUUGGGUUAAGUCCCGCAACGAGCGCAACCCUUGUUCACUGUUGCCAGCACGUUAUGGUGGGGACUCAGUGGAGACCGCCGGGGUCAACUCGGAGGAAGGUGGGGAUGACGUCAAGUCAUCAUGCCCCUUAUGUCCAGGGCUUCACGCAUGCUACAAUGGCUGGUACAGAGAGUGGCGAGCCUGUGAGGGUGAGCGAAUCUCGGAAAGCCGGUCUCAGUUCGGAUUGGGGUCUGCAACUCGACCUCAUGAAGUCGGAGUCGCUAGUAAUCGCAGAUCAGCAACGCUGCGGUGAAUACGUUCCCGGGGCU